AUGGCUAACAGCCGACCUAAGGCUUCCCAGCAACGCCAAGCAAAAGUCAUGACCGCCGCCGCGGGCUCGGCGAGCCGUGUCGCGGUGCCCUUGUUGUUGUGCGCGAUGCUGGCGCCCAGCGGCGCCUACGAGCUAGACGACUCCGACGGGCUGGGCCUGGAGUUCGAUGGCAUCGGCGCAGUCAGCGGCGGCGGGGCAACCUCCCGGCUUCUAGUAAAUUACCCAGAGCCCUAUCGUUCUGAAAUACUGGAUUAUCUAUUUAAGCCAAACUUCGGUGCCUCUCUGCAUAUUCUAAAAGUGGAAAUAGGUGGCGAUGGACAAACAACAGACGGCACUGAACCCUCCCACAUGCACUAUGAGCUAGAUGAGAAUUAUUUCCGAGGCUAUGAGUGGUGGCUAAUGAAGGAAGCUAAGAAGAGGAACCCAAAUAUUAUACUUAUGGGGUUGCCAUGGUCAUUCCCUGGAUGGCUGGGCAAAGGCUUCAGUUGGCCUUAUGUAAAUCUUCAGCUGACUGCCUUCUAUAUUGUGAGAUGGAUUUUGGGUGCCAAGCAUUAUCAUGACCUGGACAUUGAUUAUAUUGGGAUAUGGAAUGAAAGGCCGUUUGAUGCCAACUAUAUAAAGGAAUUAAGAAAAAUGCUUGAUUAUGAAGGUCUCCAGCGAGUGAGAAUCAUAGCAAGUGAUAAUCUCUGGGAGCCAAUUUCCUCUUCUGUGCUGCUUGACCAGGAGCUCUGGAAGGUGGUUGAUGUUAUAGGAGCUCAUUAUCCCGGAACCUACACAGUCUGGAAUGCAAAGAUGUCAGGGAAGAAGCUUUGGUCGUCGGAAGACUUUAGCACUGUCAACAGUAAUGUUGGCGCAGGCUGUUGGGGUCGCAUAUUGAACCAGAAUUACAUCAAUGGCAAUAUGACCGCCACAAUUGCUUGGAAUUUGGUGGCUAGUUACUAUGAAGAAUUGCCCUAUGGACGAAGUGGAUUGAUGACAGCCCAGGAGCCGUGGAGUGGACAUUAUGUAGUAGCAUCUCCUAUCUGGGUAUCAGCUCAUACAACUCAAUUUACUCAACCAGGCUGGUAUUACCUGAAGACAGUUGGCCAUCUAGAGAAAGGAGGAAGCUAUGUAGCUCUGACUGAUGGCUUGGGGAAUUUCACCAUCAUCGUUGAAACUAUGGUAAUUGUCCGUUGUUGGGACUCAAGUAGUGGGCAUCUCAUACUUCACCAGGAACUGUGUCUUUAGACAGACGGAUAGGAUAUUGUGGUGUUCUGGGCAUAGGAGGGCAUAUCUCCAAGAUUCUUGUGACUGCUGCCCUGGGAGAAAGGUUGGAGAAGGCUAUUGGUUACCUUGCUCCUUCUGUUGUUUUAAGACAGCUCUCUUUUUAAAGAUAUAUUGAUGUAAAUAAUAACCAGUUCUUCCAACCAGCCCCAUGCUCCCAGAAUAAGAUUUAGACUCAAAAUAUAUAUUUACAAAUACCUUGGUUAUAUUGUGAGGCUUUUUUAUUAUUAGAUCAUAAGUUAAAUUAUCCCAUUUAUUUUAAUCUAUAUUCUGCCAUGUGGCUGGUUACCUGUGCUCAGGUCCCAAGCAUCUGUCUCGUCACAUCUUCCCAGGAGGGUCUCCUGCCUUGCUGUAUCCUGGAUGUCCUACCUUCUAUUCUACUCUUUUCUAUAGGCUAUAGUUUUUUUUAAUCGAAAGGGAGCAAUAUAAUAUACAAGAUAUUCUCUCCACAAUAUAUUGGGAUAACUGGCGAACAUAUGUGUCAGUUCCUUUGGGUGUGUAGCCAGGACUGGGGCUGCCAGUUAAACAGUAACUAGUGUGAAGAGCUGCCAGUUCCCUGUCCCAUUUCUCCUUGCUCCCAGCGGUUCAUAAGGCUUCCAGCAUCACCUCAUCCUAGCCAGCAGUUAGUGUCCAUUUCUUUGCUUAUAGUCAUUCUUGAGGGUGUGAGGUGAUGUUAUUACCGUUUGACUUUCCUUUUCCUACUGACUAAUGAUGCCAGUUAUAUUUUCAUAUAAUUUUUGGCUAUCUGUAUUUCCUCACUGGAGAAAUGUCUAUUUAAAUCUCCAUUGCCCAUUUAAGAGUAUUUUUAGUUUUCUUCUUGAAUUGUAAGAGUUCUUCAUAUAAUCUAUCUAAAAGCCCCUCAGAAGACACAUGGCCGCUGUAAUGUGUAGAUCAUACUACCCUGUUUUAAGCUCUGGGUAGAAUGUGGUAUGAGCCAUCACUGUAGUUCCCUUGGAUUCAUAGAUAAAACACACACACACACACACACACACACACACACACACACACACACACACACAGAGAGAGAGAGAGAGAGAGAGAGAGAGAGAGAGAGAGAGAGAGAGAGAGAGAUUGAGAGAGAGAGAGAGCACACUAGUUUAUUUUUAAAUGUUUUAGCUCAAUGGCCGGGCAUUUUUAAACCUUUUGCAGCUAACAUGCUCUUACCUUCACUCCCAGCUCAACACCUCUAAAUCUGCCCUCACCUUAAUUGUCUGGUUACCUUCUCCUAGUUCAGCACCCUAAAUCUGCCCUCAGCUCAGUUGUGUUUCUCCCACCUGCACACACGGAUGAGAAGUCUGAGAGGAGGGGAGGAUUGAUUUCUCAGCUGAGCUGAGUCACAUGGCUCCAGCACAUGGAAACAAGGAAACACAUCUGCCAGAGAGAGCUUAAGCCAGAGGCUGGGAACGCCUGCUGUGCAAACAAGCUAACUGGUUCCCCAAAUCCUAGAAGAGAGGCACUGAGAAACAAACAAUAAAGCUGCCUGUCUCCAGCCAGCAAAAAAAAAAAUCAAAGGACAGAUUUUUAAAAUUUGAUUAAACUGUUUUUAAGGAUAGUAAGGAUUAUAAUAGUAAUGGUUCAGAUGUUCUCAAAUAAACAGGUAUUAAGCUCCACGAAAGAGAAAAGUUAAGAGAGAGUGAUACAAUAAACAAAAGAAAAUGUAAUUACAGUAAGAUACAGAGAAAUAAAAAUAUUGAGACAUUCAAUCUUAAAAAAUUAGACCAAAGGCAAGGGGUAGGAAACCUAGCCUAUCUUAGACAGUAAAAAUUUAGGUCCUAAAAAUCAUAUAAAGAGAGAGCCUAGACAUAGGCUUAUACAAUAAACAAAAGAAAAUUUAAGCUUAUAUUAUAUAAAUAAUUUAGGCCUUGAUCUCAUGAUGGUCAGGACAGGGAACAACAAAAACACUGUCUCACAAGUUAACGUUUAUUUACAUUGUUUUAUUAGCUUUAAAUUGCUUUAAUUAUCAAAAUAAAUGUAAUUAAGAGUUUGGUGGUUAUAUUAAAAUUCCUCUGGGAGAGCGGUCAAGCUAAAUGUUUAAUGAUUUCUGAUUAUUGGACCAAGGACAUGUUAUUUUGGGAGAGAGACUCUGUGUUUGUGCUGACAAGAAAGGAGAGAGGGCUUUGGACUCCAUCCAUAGAUCACAUAUGACGGGGGAGGCCCCUAAAGAACUAAAAAGGUUAAAAAAAAUCAAACAAGACAGAUAAAGAUUCGUCAUGCAAUCCUUCACACGACAUUACAAUUGGUUAUUAAUAAAAUUAACUCACGAAAAAGACAGCUGUCUUUCACUACUCACAGAACAAAAUGCAUCCUUAAUUGAUCUACACAUCCUUCAUAAUCUAUAAAAAUAUCUUAAUUAUACUAAAUUUCGGUUGUGAUAUAUUAUAAAAUGUAGUGAGGAUGAGAUUCAUCCUCAGAGAUGUUGAACUGACCUGCUUGGUGCCCUGCUUCCAGCUGCUGCCCAAAACAGCUUCUGGAUUGCCCUGAAUUCCAGGUUAUCUUGCCUCAUUCAGCCUUUCAGACAAAUCUGGUUAAAAUUUAGGUCAAGAUCUGAACCUUCCAGAAUACAGAGACUAGAUAACAGAUGCUAAAGCUAGCUUUGUAAAGUCUAACCAGUUUUACUAAUUUUCUUACCCCUUCCCAUCACUUUAAAAAAUUUCUCAUCAUCCUUAUUCAACAAAAAAAAGCUAUAGAGUUCUCAGCCCAAUUCCCUGGGUUUGGAUAUCUGGUAAUGGUUACUUUACAAAUUAUAGAUACUCAUUUUAAGAAAUAAUGUAAAAUUGGUCAUAAUUUUAAAUGGGAAAAUAGAUGAGUUAGAUUACUAAAUUUUAUUCUUAAUUAUAUAGCCAUAACCUUACAUUGAUAAAAAUAUUAAUAAUUGAUAUAAAAUUAAACCUGUAAUCUCUUACGUUGAUAUAAAAAUUAUAUACUAAUAUAAAAUUGUGGUUUUCACUGGUAUAAAUGUAUAUAUUGAUACAAAAUUUAAAAUUAAUAUUGUUACUCUUAGAUAGACAUUGUGCCUGUAUGACUUAUUUAAAAAUACAAGUCUUGACUCAGUUCUUCUAAUAACUACUUCACAACCUGAUUAAGAUGACUCAAUAACACAAGUUAAGGUCCAGAUAACAAAGUCAUGGUUAUGUUAGAGUCUGAUUUAAUACUAUAACAUGUUUUCAGUUUACUCAAAUAAAAAUGACUUGAGCAGUUAAGGUUUAACAGUUCAAAAACAAUUUACUUAGUCUUCAAAAACACCAAAAAUUAAAGGCUGACCAGAUAGUCAGCUGUCUCUAUAAUUGUUUAAGUUUUGAAAGCUAUGUUUGGUACUUUCUAUACGCUUAGACAAUAUUUAAUUUGUUCUCAGAUUUCUAACGAGGUUAAAGACCAGUUAUAGUCUCACAAUCAAACAAGUUUUUAGCAUUGAGAGAGGUUAUAAAAUAAAAGACAUGGUUUUCAGAUAAUGUUACAAGCUAAAGUCUAAACAUAAUUCAAAGAUAAAAUUAUAACUCUUCAAGUUAGAGAUGAUAGAGUACUUUAUCUGACAAACAUGAUGAACUAGAUGUCAAUUACAUAUCAUACUUUGUAAUUUAUAUGAUUGUUAUGGUAUUGUCCAAUUUAUGUCUGAGGGAAGAGUUGUUUUCUUUAAAUUGGACAAAAAAGAUGAGAUGUAGGGUGUGGCUCUGAUGCUUUGAUCAGGAAUCUGUGUGUGAAUGCUAAAGGUCCUGUUUCCUAGUUGGUUCUUGGUUGAUCAAGAAAGAUGCUAGGGGCCAAUGACUGGGAAGAAGAGGCAGGACUUCCAGGUUCCCUCAUGCAUACUAGGAGAGGCAGGCAGAGGAAAGAAAAGUUCCAUGCUUUGGAGGGAGAAAGAACCACUAGUCAUGUGAGAUCUCAGGUGGAGUGGCCAUUGACUGCUUCCCCCACUGGGCCUGCGGUAGCAUGAUGGGAGAUGAGAAAUGCAGCUAAGCUGAGGGCAGACUUAGGGUGUUGAGCUAGGAGUGAAGGUAAGGGCAUAUUAGCUGUGGGAAUCUUAAGAUUUAACCCAGACAUUGAGCUAAAAAGCAUAUUAAAAUAAGCUUGUGUGUGUGUGUGUGUGUGUGUGUGUGUGUGUGUGUGUGUGUGUCUUUCAUCCACAGACAGAUCCAAGGGAGCCAGGGUGGUGGCUGGUAGCACUGUCUAGCACAUACUUCACGUGGCUUUUCUAUAUUUGCUCUCAUGCUUAUAGGGUAAGUCAGCCGGAUCCUAGAUUCAUAAUCCUACUAGCUCAUCCUCUCCAGUGCUGGAGAAUAUGCCCAACUUCUUUCUUUUUAAUGGCAUCCUUUGAAGUAAAAAAAGCUCUAAACUUGUGUGAAGUUCAGAUUGGGACUUUUUUUCUUUUGUUUUCUGCACAUUUAGUAUCAGACACAGGAAAACAUUGACUAAUCCAGGGUCAUGCGGAUUUGAAGGGUAGUCUUUUUUUUUUUUUUUUGUAAGAUUGCUGUUAUUUUAAGUUUUUUAAACUCUUGUUUGUUUAUUUAUUUAUUUAUUUAUUUAUUUAUUUAUUUAUUUACUCCAGCUUUUAUUCCCCUCCUGGUCUACAUCCCAUACCUCCUCCCCACUUCUCUGUGAAGAUGUCCCCACCCCACCCACCCCAUCAGACCUCUAAACUUCCUGGGGCCUCCAGUCUCUUGAGGGUUAGGCUCAUCUUCUCUGACUGAACCCAGCCCCGGGAGUCCUCGGCUGUGUAUGUGUCGGGGGCCUCAUCUCAGCUGGUGUAUGCUGCCUGGUUGGUGAUCCAGUGUCUGAGAGAUCUCGGGGGGGGGGGUCCACGUUAAUUGAGGCUGCUGGUCCUCCUACUGGGUUGCCCUCCUUCUGUAAGUUUCUGAUCCUGUUAUUUCUUGAGGUGCUUGGCAUUUGGUCCACUUCCUUCAUUUGUGUGCAUAUGCCUAGCUGCUGAGGUCCAGCCUCAGCACUCAUGUGAGGGGUUCAUGAGAAAGGGGGAAGUGGAGCAGUCCUGACUGGGUAACUACUCGGGGUCAGUAGUGGAUGCAGCUCUCAGUUCAGGUGUUUGCUCUCUGCCUCAUCAGUCUCCCCAUUCUUCCUUCUUCCUUCUUUUGACCAGAGAGCCCCAACCCAGAGCUACAUCAUCAAGGCUUUGACCAUUGUUAAUCGUUAGAAAUCCUUUAAUUUACAUAAAUUCUAACAACCCCAGAUCUUUAGUCCUACCCCUCCCUUCCUUAAAACACAAAUCAAAAGUACAUUUCCUUAUAGUCUUUACACAGCCUGUUCUUCACCUGUAGCUGCUUGUGGUUUCCUGGUACAGCAGACAGCAAUCUUUACAGUGGCUAUUUUCACGGAAGGACAGAAAGGUGACAGAUUACUAAGGUUAAAAUGAUUUCUUACAAAGCUUUAAAUUUUAUGCUAGUAAAGCAGCUAGCUCUCUCCGAUAUCUCUCUAAUCCUUCAAGUAGCGAGGAGAAUGAAGUACCAACUUUUUAUGUGCUUGUACAUCAUCUUUCAAUUCUCCACUAUGUUUCCUUAUCCUAGCAAUUCCAUGGCCUUAGGUCCAAAAUUGACAACCUCCCUAUAAACAUUAAUUCACUAGCCCAUAGCUCGUUUCCAUUAAACCAUACUCUUCUUCUAACACUCUUUGUUUCUGGAUCGUAUACAACCCUUCCUCAUGUAAACCCAUCUAACAUUUGCUUGUUCUCUAUAGAUUCUUCCUCUUUUUCCUGUCUAUGCCUUUUCUUCUUGAGACCACUUUUACUCCCUCUUCAUGAAGUUCCCAAGUUCACUCGGCUUAUUAAUGCAUCAGUCAUUGGGCACAUGUAUCUCCUCAUAAUUCCAAGUUUGGCCAAGUCACAUAAUGAGCAGUUUCUACAGUGGGCAAUGUAGGUUUCUAUGGACUCGGUUCUGUUGUCUGGAUACUUUCCCAUGGCCCUAAAGGUCAAGCAGAAUGCAUAUUCCUCAUCCUCCAGAGCCUCAUGACCACCUCCAUUCCUCAUUCCUGAAAAGUGCAUCUAUUUCAUUUAUUAUGGAAUGAUUAGCUCUGAGUAAUGAGGGAAGUGUAUUCCUCAGAGAGAGAUUGGAAGUAAAGCAAAUUGAAUAGAGUGCAGAUCAGCUUAAGGGCAACAGUAACCAUCAGCACAUAGUGGGAUCCAUGACCUAGCAAUGCUUCAGGGGCAGGGACUGUGUCACACUGCCCGUUAACGCAGCCAAGCUCCACCCAGCACCUAGCUGGCUUCCACCAUGCUUUGCAUAUACAUAUAUAUAUAUAUAUAUAUAUAUAUAUAUAUAUAUAUAUAUAUAUAUAUACACACACACACACAUACCGAAAAGCAAUCUGUAAGAAAUUUGAGAGUUUUUCUAUGCUUGUGCUUUUGUGGUAGCCAUGCAUCUUAGUUACUGUACUUCUAAGUGAGGGUUUGGGGUCAGUUUCCUAGCUUUGAUCAUUUUCAAGAUUGGCUAUUUUGGUUACUUUGGAUUUCAACAUAAUCAACUAUUGCGAGCAUACAACCUAAGAUUGAUGUUUUACUUACUCAGUCAGUGUGUAAUGUGCAUAGCAUUACCAUUCUAUCCUGCCAGUCAACAAAUGUGGGCCGUCUUUCUGAGCAUUCUAUGUUAUUAAUUUCUCUAUGAUACUUUGGCAUUUCUUGUGGGAACCAUGUUUCUUUUUAGUAACACUACCUACUCUUUUGGAUCCCACUGUAAGUAGGACGCCUCAAGGUUAUUUUACUGUAAGUAGGACACCUCAAGGUUAUUCUCAGGGCUUCAUUCUUGUGUGUAGAAAUUCUGUUGUUAAUGUGUUAAUCUUGGCCUCACAACUUGCUUUUUCUGAUGGUUACUAGAGAAUUUUGUUUACAUGAGCAUUCCCACUUCAAGUAAGAUGCUUUUAGUCCUCUCUUUAUCAUCCUAGAAGCCUUACGGUUCUUUUCUUUGCCCUGUUGCCCUGCCCGGUGUUCAUCCAGAAGAAACUCUGUAGCGUAUGCUUGUUAGCUGGAGAUUUUGCCAGUAUUUAAAACUUAGGUUGAGGAGCUUGUCUUUUGUUGAAUCUUUUUACGCAGAGCUCUGGUUUCCACCAAGCACGCACUUAUGUGGCGUUUGUCCUCCGUGAACUCUGUGUGCUGCAUUGUACUGACUGGUUUUGUGUGGGGAGACCCAUGCGUCCCUCAGAUGAAUCAUUCUUCAAUGUGACAUUGUCCUUUGUAUUUGCUGUUGGAUUCGACUUCUUAGAUCCUUUAGAAUUUUCUUUCCUUGUUAUGUCCUGUUUGGUUUUAGUAUCAGAGUAAUUAGUAGCCACAUGGAGUGAUUUGGGAACAUUUUUGGAAAAUAUCUGAAGGUCUGAUGGUCUUCAGUUGUCUGGCAGAAUUCAUUUAUGAUGUCACCUGACCCCAGGAUUUUCCUUCAUGAGUUUCAGUUUAAGAAUUCUUUUACUUAUUGUAGGUGUAGUCAGGUGUUAAAAUUUUUUCAGAGGCUAUGGAAUUUUGUGUUUCUGUCAUUUUGACUUCCUGAUCUGUGUGGUUGAGCAUGGAACCCCUCGUGUAGACCUGUUUUAGUUGUAUAAGGCUGGCAGGGUGCCCUUCUGCCGUUCUCUUUAGUUACUGAGUCAUGUCUCUUUCUUCCUGAUUGAUCUUCCGGGAAGGCUUAUUUGUCUUUUUUUAAAGAAACAAUGCUGUUUUGUUCAUUUUCUGUGUUUCAGUAUUUCACAGCAGUAUUUAUUCUCUUCCUCUGUAUGCUAUGGUUUUGGUUUGCUCUUUUGAAACUGUCCAGUUUCUUAAAGUAGAAGGCCAGGUUACUCUUAGAAAACACUUAAAAUAUAUAGGCACGAGUAGCCUUCACUUCCUCUGUAUCUGAUACUUUAGUGUAGUUUAUCUGUUUUAGGUUUUGUUUUAAUAUUUCGACCACAGAGUUUGUUUUUUAUUGUACUCGUGGUUUCCUCCUCGACUUAACUGCUUCGUGGCAAGGUCCUUUUAUGUAGCUGUGAGUUUGGGCUACCACACUUUGGCUCCAGCAGGUUGCACAUGCGUACUUGCCCAGGAGCGAUCUGGAUUCAGAAGUGGAAGACGAGUGCACACAUAUGCCAGUUAAUUUUAAAAUGCCUUGGCUACCCUGAAGCUGGGCACUUCCCCUGCUACCCCAGGCCCAAUCAGGGAAGUGGCCACCCACCUGAAUUGUCACAUUGCUGGUUGGCUUUUUCUCCCGUAGCUCCUACAUCGCACCCUUCUCCUCCAAAGCAUGGCGAUUUUGGGUAGUCUCCCCCUGCAUCUCAGCCCGUGCAACUCUGAGGGUCCUGCCCUGUCUCCCUUUACCCAGCUAUUGGCUGCUGGCAUCUUUACUGAUCAAAAACCAACUGGAGACAAGGAUCUUCAGCAUUUGAACAUGCAGAUUCCUGAGUGAAUCAAAGCCGCAGAGCCGAUCUCCAACACUUUUAUAUCUGUGUUUCUGUGACUUUUGCAAUUGGUAUUGAAGUUUCAUUUCAUCCCAUUCUGAUUGGAGAGCUACUCCCUGGUGUUCCUCUGAGAGGACUGCAGUCGUUGCCUCACUGUGGGCCACACUGAGCGCUGCCCUGGAAGAAUAGCUGCUUUGUUGCCUGUGGAAUUCCCCAUGGCUGUGUCUCAGAUCUGUCUGUCUGUCUGUCUGCUGUCUGUCUGUCUGUGUUCAUUUCUUGUUUUGCCUGAAAAAUCUCAACAAGUAAAAAUCUCAACUACUACAGGAUUGUCUCUCGUCUUCCCCCCUGUUAGGUUUUUUUUUUUUAAUUAAAUAUUUUAUUUUACUUACAUUCCAAAUGUUGUCCCCUUUUUGGUUCCCCCUCCAUGGUUCUUCACUCCCUCCCCACUCCCCUUUGCUUCUGAAAGAGUGCUCCUCCACCCACCCACCACCCUCUCCCACCUCAACCUGCUAGCUUCCCUGGGGCAUUUUCAGAUUUUGUCUUUAUUUCUGAUAUUUUAAUGUAUUGACUUCUGGCUUUAAACUUUCUCUGUUUAUAUUUUUCCUAUUAUUUUAAAAUCAACGUUCUCUGUUACUAUUUGUUAUUGCUUUUUUUCUUUUAAUGUGAUGCAUGUCCCCUUUCAAUAGCAUGUAGUUUGAUCUUGCUUUUCUUAGCCUUGUCUGUUGAAUGGCCUUAGUUUUCUAUGGUUUGGUUUAUUUUUGCCUUGCGGUCUUUGUUUUCCACAGUUCAUGGUUUUGUUUCUCUUUGGUAUUCCUCCUUUGCUGUUUUCUUUGACGUUGACUGAGUGUUUUCUGAGGCUUUUCUGUUCCUGUAAUGAUCUUUCCGCGACCCUUUAGAGGGUCGUAUCUCAGCAAUGGCUUCAGAGUUUACCACACAUACCUUCCUGCUUCAGGACCACUUCAGAUUAAACUGACUGGACCCUGGGACACAGAAGGAACGCUGUUCUUCUCUCACUUUUUAUAUUUCCCAAUUUUAUUGUACCUGCCACAGCCCCAGCAGAAGGAUAACAGAAUGCUGUGAAAUCAUUACUUUAUAUGUAAUUUUUAAAAAAAAGUCCAUGAGAACAGAAGAGAAGAGCAUCUAUUUAUAUCACGUUACAUUUAUUUUAUUUACAGUAUGGCUCUUUGGAUCUGGUCUCUAUAUUUAAGUUACCAUUACGGUCAUGUUCUCACUCUGAGCUUUGUCCAGGCACACACAGUGUACAUUAAUUAAAGUUACGUUAGCAGUUUAUCUUAAUAAACUGAAAUAAGUUCAUAUUUGUUAUAAAUGUUUGCCAUUCCUGCUGCUUUUCAGGCGUUGAUUAUUUAUGUUUUCCCCACAAAAUAGCUUGGGUAACUUACCUGACUUUUCCCCUAGAGUCGUCAACAUUCUAUGUGUAUACGGCCAUAUCUACCGUAUUAUAAUGUCUCACGUCAGCUGGCCACCUUCAUUCUAAAGGGGUCUUUG